UCUUUCACAAAAAGCUUUCUCUCACAAAAGCUCUCUUUUUAGGAAAACUCCUUGAAUCCCUAAAGUGACCGCUGUCCGCUAUCCAACAGUCUGCCUGAAGCCCCUGCUCCUGCUCUUGUGGGUGUCUCGCUUCUGUUUUCUGGAUUCUCUGCCGAACAAAGCCAUGCACACACCCUCUGUUCCGUGAAUAGAAUUUUUUAAAGGCUUAAAAUCGUGAAAGAAUAGGAUACAGAC
rnacentral:lncRNA from 1 species